rnacentral:rRNA from 1 species
UGGGGAAUUUUGGACAAUGGGCGCAAGCCUGAUCCAGCAAUGCCGCGUGCAGGAUGAAGGCCUUCGGGUUGUAAACUGCUUUUGUACGGAACGAAAAGCCUCUCUCUAAUACAGGGGGGUGAUGACGGUACCGUAAGAAUAAGCACCGGCUAACUACGUGCCAGCAGCCGCGGUAAUACGUAGGGUGCAAGCGUUAAUCGGAAUUACUGGGCGUAAAGCGUGCGCAGGCGGUUUUGUAAGACAGUGGUGAAAUCCCCGGGCUCAACCUGGGAACUGCCAUUGUGACUGCAAGGCUGGAGUGCGGCAGAGGGGGAUGGAAUUCCGCGUGUAGCAGUGAAAUGCGUAGAUAUGUGGAGGAACACCGAUGGCGAAGGCAAUCCCCUGGGCCUGCACUGACGCUCAUGCACGAAAGCGUGGGGAGCAAACAGGAUUAGAUACCCUGGUAGUCCACGCCCUAAACGAUGUCAACUGGUUGUUGGGGAUUUAUUUCUUCAGUAACGAAGCUAACGCGUGAAA